rnacentral:ncRNA from 1 species
GUCAGUCGAUCCUGAGAGAUGGAUGAUUUCUGUUUCAAAGGAACUGAUGAUGGCCUCUUGCUCUCAGCCCAUUGGAAAGGGAGUCGGGUUCUGAUCCCUGAAUCCAGAGUGAACCCAGAGGGACGGAGACUAGUGCCUGCAAGGUGCCCAGUGUGGUGACGCAACUGACUGGGAGAAACUGGUGGGAGCCUCAGGGAGAGUUCUCUUUUCUUUGUGAAGGGCAGGGCGCCCUGGAAUGAGUUUGCCCAGGGAGAGGAGCCCACACCUUGGAAAGCAUUGCGGUUCCAGUGGCCUCCAGUGAGCUCUCCCUGGCCCAUGAAAGUCCGUGGGGACCUCAUACCACCAUGAAACCAGAGCCAGGAGAAUAGCACAUCCUUUGAACUCG